UACGGAGGGUGCGAGCGUUAAUCGGAAUUACUGGGCGUAAAGGGUGCGUAGGUGGUUAAUUAAGUUAUCUGUGAAAUUCCUGGGCUCAACCUGGGCAGGUCAGAUAAGACUGGUUAACUCGAGUAUGGGAGAGGGUAGUGGAAUUUCCGGUGUAGCGGUGAAAUGCGUAGAGAUCGGAAGGAACACCAGUGGCGAAGGUGGCUACCUGGCCUGAUACUGACACUGAGGCACGAAAGCGUGGGGAGCAAACAGG
rnacentral:rRNA from 1 species